AUUUUUUAUAAGAUUUUUAUUGAGUCAUACAUACACCUAUUGAAAACAACAUAAUUUUAUGUUUAAUCAUUCAUACAUUAUCAAAUAACAACGAAACACAUCAUAUUUAAACAAAAACUUUUCAUUCAAUAUAAAAAAAAUCAGAUUAGAUAAAAGUGAAAUAAAAAAUAUAAAAUAGUAACAUAAAACAGUAUCAACACCAUUA
rnacentral:lncRNA from 1 species